UACGUAGGGCGCUAGCGUUGUCCGGAGUUACUGGGCGUAAAGGGCUUGUAGGCGGCUGGUCGCGCCUGCCGUGAAAUGUCCCGGCUCAACCGGGGGAGUGCGGUGGGUACGGGCCGGCUUGAGUGCGGUAGGGGAGGCCGGAACUCCUGGUGUAGCGGUGGAAUGCGCAGAUAUCAGGAGGAACACCGGUGGCGAAGGCGGGUCUCUGGGCCGUUACUGACGCUGAGGAGCGAAAGCGUGGGGAG
rnacentral:rRNA from 1 species